rnacentral:lncRNA from 1 species
UUUUAGGCAACAAAAGCAUCUAGACCACGCUUUUUUAGAGGUGGCCUUUGUCUCUGACUUUUGGCUACGAAGUUUAGGCUACACUUUAAAAGGGUACUUUUAGAAACUAAAAACCACGCUCAUUAAGUACUUUUACCUAUUUUGAUUUUCCAUUACCCAUUCCUCCUGCCCCCCAAUUCAUUUAUAUUCUUUCCCCAAAUUCAUUCUCUUCCUAAUUACAGAGGCAUCUCAGUCUCAGAGACAGAAACGUUCAACUUCACUUGCUGCUUCUAAUCCUCGAAAACCCUAGCCAAAUUUUAGGGCUACGGUAGUUUAAUCUCUGUGAGUACUUUCUUCUCUUCACUCUUCGGUUUUCUACUUCUCUCUCUAGUAAUCUAUGUUCUCUGUAUUGUACCUUUAGUUAUUGCAUUGUAUGCUUCUCAUUUUGCUCUAUUGUGUGGAAUUUAUGUUGUCGCCUCGCUCAUUCUAGCAUUCUCUUUCUGAUUUCGCUCUAUUCUAUCAUAUUCUUGUUGUCAAUUCGCUAUUUCCAAUUAGCCUAGUAGAAUUGGUAAACCUAGUCUUUGGUGAACUCAAUUUGGACCAGAAACUAUAACCGACUCAACAACUCUAUAUAAAGGAGCUAAUUAAGAUCUAUUGAUAGUCCGAAAAAAUCUCAACUACACUAUCCAUCUUUCAGCUUGUUCAUUUUUACAAGUAAUUCUCAUUCCAUUUGAAGGCUAUCGAGCUCUGGCUUCUUCAAAACCUUCACUGACUAUUCAGGUUGGAACAUUUUAAGCCAUUGUAAGACCCUUUAAUUAACGUCAACUCAAUAUUUAUUUACUACUUUUUAAUUUGCCCAUUCACAAGGGUUUGUUUUGGAUAAUCCAUCAUACACAGGUAGCUGCAGAGCUGGCUUUGGUAUUGACAGUAGUGAAUAAUGAAGAAGACUUCAUGUGGGCGUUGAUUCAACUGGUCAUCUCUACAUUCUUUACUUCCUUGUUUUCCUUGUAAGUGGGAAUAAAGAAUAGCACAAUACUUCCUAUUAAUAUGCUAGUUGUUUAUAGUAGCUCUUGUUAUUUAUUUUGUUUCUUUAGCAAUCCUUAAGAUGUCAGAUUGUAGCUUAUCAUAAUGACGUGUGUAUGACUUGUACAAUACCUAUGAUACACACACUGGUUUUGGGUUUAAAUUUUCAGUCAUUCUGUACUAUUUGACACUAUCACUUCUUAGCAUUUGGUUGUUUGGACCUAGUUUCUUCUAGAAAAGUUGCCAUCCUAUACAAGCCAUCUAGUUAAGAAUGAAAAAAAAAUCAAGUAUAAGAUGUAAAAUAACUUGUUAAUAUGCAGUGUCCAGCUAGUGGAGUUGUGCAACGAGCUAAUACUCUUCUAUGAAAGCAAUGGAUAAAAAUGUACCGCUUAAUUGAAACAAUAAAAGGAGCAAAAUUUAACAUCAAAUGCAUUACUGCUCCUUAGUUUUAGAUUAGCUUUUGUCCAUGAGCAAACAUAUUCUAUUCUCAAUUGUAAUUUUGUUUGCAUCCGCUUGACUUCUUUUAAUGAACUCCUUUUACUUCAUGAAAAAAAAAAUGAUGCUCAACUUAACUAGUGCUUGAUAUUUUGCUUGUCAUAUAUAUUCUAUUUGUGAAUGCUUCACCGGUGAUUGAUAGGUUGCUUUACUUAUACAACUUGCAUCUUCUCCGAGUUUUCUCUCUCAUUUUCUCUAUAUUAAUCAGUUUUUUAUUGUAUUGGUUGUUGGGCAAAAAUGAUCCGUUCUUCGAAGUCCUACCUUCUCUAUUUCUUAGUUCUCUUAGUUUAUGAUAGUUGGUCUUUAUUAUGGUAAGAAGUUAUGCUUAUCAUAACGUAUUUCAUGUGUUUUUAAGAGAAUCAGUUGACUCAUAUUAUAGUCUAUUAACAGAAUCUAGAAGCAGAAAGAUCCAUUGAUGGUAGAUUGUAGUUUUGUAAGAUUUAUUCCAAGAUAUCGAUGAUCUUACCACACUCAAGGAUGCUUCAGUUGCUGAGUGUAGAGAAAGCAAUAAUAAGCAUUUGACCUUCAGCAUGAAUGUGCAGGAUCAAGAGGUAGAAAGAGUUGCUCUUUUCCUUAGUAGAUUGAAGGCUACUCAAGCUUAUUAAAAUUAUUUGAAAAUUUAGACCCCACAAAUAUAAAAUAAAGUAGAUAAAAUAUGAAAUAGGAUGAAAAGGAAAAUAGUAGGUAGAUGACAAUGUAUUUAGAAUCCAUUCUAAUUAGUGAUCUUGCAGGUUAUUCUUAUUUGUUCUUAAUAUCAAUGCAGAGUGAAGGGUGAUAUUCAAGAAAACUCCUCUCAUACUUUUUAAUAAUAUAAAUCUCUUCCGGUAUUUUUUUUGGGAAGAUUCUGCUUAUUGUCUCUCAUAUAUACAUAUCGAAAUAAUUUUAAUAUGGUGCUUGCAGGUUGCUGCUGGUUAGUUUUCUAUAUGAGCAUGAUGAGUAAAGUAAACAGUAGCGAUGAGUGAAGGUGGAAAAAAAAACUGGUAGUUAAACUAGUUAGUAUGAUCUAAAAUCUACCGGAGCACCUGAAUAUUUUCAUCUGGAUCUGCACCUUAUCUCAUAUACGGCAACAGUAGUAAGUUAGUUCAUGUGAAAACUUUUUACUCAUACUUCUGAAUUCCAUUCUAAUAAAUGAAAUUGUAGAAUUAAUUUAUAAGUAUUUCUCUAGUAGCCAUGUUUCUAUUUAUUUUAAAAGUUUGUUUGUCAAGUACUUCAAUGAUUUUUAUCCGCUACGAGUGCUAAUUUUUUCAAGAUUGCUAGGUGAAUAAGUCAUCAUUCUGAAGGGAGAGCAUGAUCCUUGAGAAAAUUAGAUUUCUCCCUUUCAAUAUCCCCCUUUCACAUAUUUAAACCCCUUCAACUUUAUAGUACUCAUCUAAUAUUAUCUAACUGCAGCUGGCAUAAAUAGUUUUUUUUUUUAAAUUAGUAGCAGACUAUAACAAAUAAUGCAUCUUUGUUUGUCUCAAUUGCAGGUAUGGAAAGGCAAAACCACUGAAAAGAAUAAUGAGAUUACAAUUAGGGAACUUAAGACUCAAAAACCUUCAGAAGUUUUUGAUGAUCUGAACAAGGAAAUCUCACAUGUUGCUUAGAUUAAUAGGGUGGUCAAGCUACCGAAAACGGAUCAGUUGCAAAAUUAGGAGAUUGAUGUGAAAGGUGCUAAGGACCAAGGGGAUAACAAAUUGGGUUUCUAACGUAUACUACCUUUAGCACUAUAAUAUGUUUUAAAGUGUUAUUCAUGAUAGAGUACAUCAGAUAUUGUAUAAUUCAUUUCCAGUAGUCGACCUAUAAGAGAUUGCUUUAUUAGUUAAUGUAGUACUUGAUACAUAUUUCUUUUUCAAAGUUCAUUGUAAGUGUAUGCGCUUGAAUCUUUUUUUUUUUUUAUUUAUAUAUUGAUUAAUGUAGUAUUUGAGUUCUUCAUACGUUUGCAAUAAUCUAAAAAUUUAUGAUGAUAAA